UACGUAGGGUGCGAGCGUUAAUCGGAAUUACUGGGCGUAAAGCGUGCGCAGGCGGUUUUGUAAGCCAGAUGUGAAAUCCCCGGGCUUAACCUGGGAAUGGCAUUUGGGACUGCAAGGCUGGAGUGCGGCAGAGGAGACUGGAAUUCCUGGUGUAGCAGUGAAAUGCGCAGAUAUCAGGAGGAACACCCGUGGCGAAAGCGGCUCUCUGGGACGGUACUGACGCUGAGACGCGAAAGCGUGGGGAGCAAACAGG
rnacentral:rRNA from 1 species